rnacentral:rRNA from 1 species
GAUCUGUAGCGGGUCUGAGAGGAUGAUCCGCCACACUGGGACUGAGACACGGCCCAGACUCCUACGGGAGGCAGCAGUGGGGAGUAUUGGACAAUGGGGGGAACCCUGAUCCAGCCAUGCCGCGUGUGUGAAGAAGGCCUUUUGGUUGUAAAGCACUUUAAGCGAGGAGGAGGCUUACCUGGUUAAUACCUGGGAUAAGUGGACGUUACUCGCAGAAUAAGCACCGGCUAACUCUGUGCCAGCAGCCGCGGUAAUACAGAGGGUGCAAGCGUUAAUCGGAUUUACUGGGCGUAAAGCGCGCGUAGGUGGCUAAUUAAGUCAAAUGUGAAAUCCCCGAGCUUAACUUGGGAAUUGCAUUCGAUACUGGUUAGCUAGAGUAUGGGAGAGGAUGGUAGAAUUCCAGGUGUAGCGGUGAAAUGCGUAGAGAUCUGGGNAGAAUACCGAUGGCGAAGGCAGCCAUCUGGCCUAAUACUGACACUGAGGUGCGAAAGCAUGGGGAGCAAACAGGAUUAGAUACCCUGGUAGUCCAUGCCGUAAACGAUGUCUACUAGCCGUUGGGGCCCUUGAGGCUUUAGUGGCGCAGCUAACGCGAUAAGUAGACCGCCUGGNGNGNAGNUNACNGGUCGCAAGACUAAAACUCAAAUGAAUUGACGGGGGCCCGCACAAGCGGUGGAGCAUGUGGUUUAAUUCGAUGCAACGCGAAGAACCUUACCUGGCCUUGACAUACAGAGAACUUUCCAGAGAUGGAUUGGUGCCUUCGGGAACUCUGAUACAGGUGCUGCAUGGCUGUCGUCAGCUCGUGUCGUGAGAUGUUGGGUUAAGUCCCGCAACGAGCGCAACCCUUUUCCUUAUUUGCCAGCACUUCGGGUGGGAACUUUAAGGAUACUGCCAGUGACAAACUGGAGGAAGGCGGGGACGACGUCAAGUCAUCAUGGCCCUUACGGCCAGGGCUACACACGUGCUACAAUGGUCGGUACAAAGGGUUGCUACUGCGCGAGCAGAUGCUAAUCUCAAAAAGCCGAUCGUAGUCCGGAUCGCAGUCUGCAACUCGACUGCGUGAAGUCGGAAUCGCUAGUAAUCGCAGAUCAGAAUGCCGCGGUGAAUACGUUCCCGGGCCUUGUACACACCGCCCGUCACACCAUGGGAGUUUGUUGCACCAGAAGUAGGUAGUCUAACCUUAGGGAGGACGCUUACCACGGUGUGGCCGAUGACUGGGGUGAAGUCGUAACAAGGUAACC